GUGGAUUAGAUACCCUGGUAGUCCACGCUGUAAACGAUGGGCACUAGGUGUGGGGGGUAUCCACUCCUCCCGUGCCGAAGCUAACGCAUUAAGUGCCCCGCCUGGGGAGUACGGCCGCAAGGUUAAAACUCAAAGGAAUUGACGGGGGCCCGCACAAGCGGUGGAGCAUGUGGUUUAAUUCGACGCAACGCGAAGAACCUUACCUGGGCUUGACAUCCCUGGAACUCCCUGGAAACAGGGGGGUGCCCUCGAAAGAGGGAGCCAGGAGACAGGUGCUGCAUGGCUGUCGCCAACU
rnacentral:rRNA from 1 species